rnacentral:lncRNA from 1 species
UGGCCGAUGGGUCUCCAAUGCACUUAUAUCAGAGAAACUUUAACACCGACCCUCAAGGACGGGAUAUUACCGCAUGUGUUUCUGCUAAAACAUUAAGUGCGGAUAAAGGCAAAUAUGAGCUCGAACAGGAGUUAAGCUACUAUAACAAGUCGUCUGCGCAAUGGGUUACCUUCCCAAAGAAGUUCACUGCUGAGACUUGGGGUACAGGAACCACGGCAAUAAAUUUCUUCAAAUCAGAUUCUUCACAUGGAAUCUUGACUUACCUCAUACUGUAUGCUGACGAAGACUGCCUGCUUGUAAAGUUGGUCUAUCGGAGCACUGGU